rnacentral:rRNA from 1 species
CGCUGGCGGCAUGCCUUACACAUGCAAGUCGAACGGCAGCACGGGUGCUUGCACCUGGUGGCGAGUGGCGAACGGGUGAGUAAUACAUCGGAACAUGUCCUGUAGUGGGGGAUAGCCCGGCGAAAGCCGGAUUAAUACCGCAUACGAUCUGAGGAUGAAAGCGGGGGACCUUCGGGCCUCGCGCUAUAGGGUUGGCCGAUGGCUGAUUAGCUAGUUGGUGGGGUAAAGGCCUACCAAGGCGACGAUCAGUAGCUGGUCUGAGAGGACGACCAGCCACACUGGGACUGAGACACGGCCCAGACUCCUACGGGAGGCAGCAGUGGGGAAUUUUGGACAAUGGGCGAAAGCCUGAUCCAGCAAUGCCGCGUGUGUGAAGAAGGCCUUCGGGUUGUAAAGCACUUUUGUCCGGAAAGAAAUCCUUGGUUCUAAUAUAGCCGGGGGAUGACGGUACCGGAAGAAUAAGCACCGGCUAACUACGUGCCAGCAGCCGCGGUAAUACGUAGGGUGCAAGCGUUAAUCGGAAUUACUGGGCGUAAAGCGUGCGCAGGCGGUUUGCUAAGACCGAUGUGAAAUCCCCGGGCUCAACCUGGGAACUGCAUUGGUGACUGGCAGGCUAGAGUAUGGCAGANGGGGGUAGAAUUCCACGUGUAGCAGUGAAAUGCGUAGAGAUGUGGANGAAUACCNAUGGCGAA